AACGAACGCUGGCGGCAGGCCUAACACAUGCAAGUCGAACGCUGCAGCAAUGCAGAGUGGCAGACGGGUGAGUAACACGUGGGAACCUUCCUAUCGGUACGGAAUAGCUCAGGGAAACUUGGGGUAAUACCGUAUACGCCCUUACGGGGAAAGAUUUAUUGCCGAUAGAUGAGCCCGCGUCUGAUUAGCUAGUUGGUGAGGUAAUGGCUCACCAAGGCGACGAUCAGUAGCUGGUCUGAGAGGAUGACCAGCCACACUGGGACUGAGACACGGCCCAGACUCCUACGGGAGGCAGCAGUGGGGAAUAUUGGACAAUGGGCGCAAGCCUGAUCCAGCCAUGCCGCGUGAGUGACGAAGGUCUUCGGAUUGUAAAGCUCUUUUGGCGGGGACGAUAAUGACGGUACCCGCAGAAUAAGCCCCGGCUAACUUCGUGCCAGCAGCCGCCGCUG
rnacentral:rRNA from 1 species